GAUGCAAGGGUCGAAAACUAAGCCUUCGUCCGUGCUUGUACGGAGAUAAGGCUUAGCUUGAGACCCGCUAAACAUGAGAAAGCAGCGAUUUACGCAGUAAAUCAGCGGAUUUCGAAUGUUUGCAAAAUUGCGGGAGCUGCUUUGCGGCGGAGCAAUUUGUAAGCAU
rnacentral:sRNA from 1 species